rnacentral:rRNA from 1 species
CAGCCGCCGCGGGAAUACGUAGGUGGCAAGCGUUGUCCGGAAUUAUUGGGCGUAAAGGGCUCGCAGGCGGUUUCUUAAGUCUGAUGUGAAAGCCCCCGGCUCAACCGGGGAGGGUCAUUGGAAACUGGGAAACUUGAGUGCAGAAGUGGAGAGUGGAAUCCCACGUGUAGCGGUGAAAUGCGUAGAGAUGUGGAGGAACACCAGUGGCGAGGGCGACUCUCUGGUCUGUAACUGACGCUGAGGAGCGAAAGCGUGGGGAGCGAACAGGAUUAGAUACCCCUGUAGUCCCUGUCUCUUAUAU